UAGUAUUUGGUCGUAGACCCGAAACCAGGUGAUCUACCCAUGGUCAGGUUGAAGUUCAGGUAACACUGAAUGGAGGACCGAACCGACUUACGUUGAAAAGUGAGCGGAUGAACUGUGGGUAGCGGAGAAAUUCCAAUCGAACUUGGAGAUAGCUGGUUCUCUCCGAAAUAGCUUUAGGGCUAGCCUCAAGUGAUGAUUAUUGGAGGUAGAGCACUGUUUGGACGAGGGGCCCCUCUCGGGUUACCGAAUUCAGACAAACUCCGAAUGCCAAUUAAUUUAACUUGGGAGUCAGAACAUGGGUGAUAAGGUCCGUGUUCGAAAGGGAAACAGCCCAGACCACCAGCUAAGGUCCCAAAAUAUAUGUUAAGUGGAAAAGGAUGUGGCGUUGCCCAGACAACUAGGAUGUUGGCUUAGAAGCAGCCAUCAUUUAAAGAGUGCGUAAUAGCUCACUAGUCGAGUGACACUGCGCCGAAAAUGUACCGGGGCUAAACAUAUUACCGAAGCUGUGGAUUGUCCUUUGGACAAUGGUAGGAGAGCGUUCUAAGGGCGUUGAAGCAUGAUCGCAAGGACAUGUGGAGCGCUUAGAAGUGAGAAUGCCGGUGUGAGUAGCGAAAGACGGGUGAGAAUCCCGUCCACCGAUUGACUAAGGUUUCCAGAGGAAGGCUCGUCCGCUCUGGGUUAGUCGGGUCCUAAGCUGAGGCCGACAGGCGUAGGCGAUGGAUAACAGGUUGAUAUUCCUGUACCACCUAUAAUCGUUUUAAUCGAUGGGGGGACGCAGUAGGAUAGGCGAAGCGUACGAUUGGAUUGUACGUCUAAGCAGUGAGAUUGAGUGUUAGGCAAAUCCGGCACUCUUAAGAUUGAGCUGUGAUGGGGAGAGGAAAUUGUUU
rnacentral:rRNA from 1 species